CUGAUAGUGCUAGUUUAAUUCUUAAAUGUUUGCAAUUUGCAGCAGUAUAGUGUGAGCACACUGACUGCAUUGCAAUGUGAGUAUAUUCCAAUUAGUACUAAUGGUAUUCAAAGUUUAGCUUUACCUGAAUAUUUUUAGUUAAUUGGAUGUAUUACUUUAAACUAUUCUACUGUGUGUGUAUAUAAUUUUAGUUAAACCCAACUGUCCUUACUGAAGUGUGUGCAAGCAGAUAAAGUAAAUUUAAUAUUUGUUU